rnacentral:rRNA from 1 species
UACGUAGGGUCCGAGCGUUGUCCGGAGUUACUGGGCGUAAAGCGCGCGCAGGCGGCGGUGUUGGCCCGGCGUGAAAGCCCCCGGCUCAACCGGGGAGGGUCGUCGGGGACCGCACCGCUUGAGGGCGGUAGGGGCUGGUGGAAUGCCUGGUGUAGUGGUGAAAUGCGUAGAGAUCAGGCGGAACACCAGUGGCGAAGGCGGCUUCCUGGCCUGUUCUUGACGCUGAGGCGCGAAAGCUAGGGGAGCAAACGGG